rnacentral:rRNA from 1 species
GACGAACGCUGGCGGCGUGCUUAACACAUGCAAGUCGAACGAUGAAGCCAGAGCUUGCUCUGGUGAAUUAGUGGCGAACGGGUGAGCAACACGUGAGUAACCUGCCCUUGACUCUGGGAUAACUGCUAGAAAUGGUAGCUAAUACCGGAUACGACCCUCGGAGGCAUCUCCAGGGGGUGGAAAGAAUUUCGGUCAAGGAUGGACUCGCGGCCUAUCAGCUAGUUGGUGAGGUAACGGCUCACCAAGGCGACGACGGGUAGCCGGCCUGAGAGGGUGACCGGCCACACUGGGACUGAGACACGGCCCAGACUCCUACGGGAGGCAGCGGUGGGGAAUAUUGCACAAUGGGCGCAAGCCUGAUGCAGCAACGCCGCGUGAGGGAUGACGGCCUUCGGGUUGUAAACCUCUUUUAGUAGGGAAGAAGCGAAAGUGACGGUACCUGCAGAAAAAGCACCGGCUAACUACGUGCCAGCCGCCGCAGUAA